GACGAACCGUGCGAACGUUGUUCGGAUUCACUGGGCUUAAAGGGCGCGUAGGCGGGCGACCAAGUCCGGGGUGAAAUCUUUCGGCUCAACCGGAAGAGUGCCUUGGAUACUGGUUGCCUCGAGGGAGGUAGGGGCAUGCGGAACUUCCGGUGGAGCGGUGAAAUGCGUAGAUAUCGGAAGGAACGCCGGUGGCGAAAGCGGCGUGCUGGCCGCUUGCUGACACUGAGGCACGAAAGCGUGGGGAGCAAACAGG
rnacentral:rRNA from 1 species